rnacentral:rRNA from 1 species
AACGAACGCUGGCGGCAUGCCUAACACAUGCAAGUCGAACGAGACCUUCGGGUCUAGUGGCGCACGGGUGCGUAACGCGUGGGAACCUGCCCUUAGGUUCGGAAUAACUCCCCGAAAGGGGUGCUAAUACCGGAUAAUGUCUUCGGACCAAAGAUUUAUCGCCUUUGGAUGGGCCCGCGUUGGAUUAGCUAGUUGGUAGGGUAAAAGCCUACCAAGGCGACGAUCCAUAGCUGGUCUGAGGGGAUGAUCAGCCACACUGGGAGUGAGACACGGCCCAGACUCCUACGGGAGGCAGCAGUGGGGAAUAUUGGACAAUGGGCGAAAGCCUGAUCCAGCAAUGCCGCGUGAGUGAUGAAGGCCUUAGGAUUGUAAAGCUCUGUUACCCGGGAUGAUAAUGACAGUACCAGGAGAAUAAGCUCCGGCUAACUCCGUG